rnacentral:rRNA from 1 species
AUUGAACGCUGGCGGCAUGCCUUACACAUGCAAGUCGAACGGUAACAGGUCUUCGGAUGCUGACGAGUGGCGUACGGGUGAGUAAUACAUCGGAACGUGCCCGAUCGUGGGGGAUAACGAAGCGAAAGCUUUGCUAAUACCGCAUAAGAUCUACGGAUGAAAGCAGGGGACCGCAAGGCCUUGCGCGAACGGAGCGGCCGAUGGCAGAUUAGGUAGUUGGUGGGAUAAAAGCUUACCAAGCCGACGAUCUGUAGCUGGUCUGAGAGGACGACCAGCCACACUGGGACUGAGACACGGCCCAGACUCCUACGGGAGGCAGCAGUGGGGAAUUUUGGACAAUGGGCGAGAGCCUGAUCCAGCGAUGCCGCGUGCAGGAUGAAGGCCUUCGGGUUGUAAACUGCUUUUGUUCGGAGCGAAAAGACUCUGGUUAAUACCUGGGGUCCAUGACGGUACCGGAAGAAUAAGCACCGGCUAACUACGUG